AUAUUGGUCAAUGGGUGAGAGCCUGAACCAGCCAUGGCGCGUGCAGGAAGAAGGCCUUCUGGGUUGUAAACUGCUUUUGUCAGGGGAUAAAAUUUCCUUGCGAGGAAAAUUGAAGGUACCUGGCAAAUAAGCCACGGCUAACUACGUGCCAGCAGCCGCGGUAAUACGUAGGUGGCAAGCGUUGUCCGGAUUUAUUGGGUUUAAAGGGUGCGUAGGCGGCCUUAUAAGUCAGUGCUGAAAUAUCCCGGCUUAACCGGGAGGGUGGCAUUGAUACUGUAGGGCUUGAGUGCAAUCGAAGUAGGCGGAAUUGACGGUGUAGCGGUGAAAUGCUUAGAUAUCGUCAAGAACACCGAUAGUGAAGACAGCUUACUAGGCUGUAACUGACGCUGAGGCACGAAAGUGUGGGGAUCAAACAGGAUUAGAUACCCUGGUAGUCCACACUGUAAACGUUGAUGACUCGCUGUUUGCGAUAUACAGUAAGCGGCUUAGAGAAAUCGUUAAGUCAUCCAC
rnacentral:rRNA from 1 species